rnacentral:rRNA from 1 species
GAUAAACGCUGGCGGCGUGCCUAAUACAUGCAAGUCGAGCGAACGGACGAGAAGCUUGCUUCUCUGAUGUUAGCGGCGGACGGGUGAGUAACACGUGGAUAACCUACCUAUAAGACUGGGAUAACUUCGGGAAACCGGAGCUAAUACCGGAUAAUAUUUUGAACCGCAUGGUUCAAAAGUGAAAGACGGUCUUGCUGUCACUUAUAGAUGGAUCCGCGCUGCAUUAGCUAGUUGGUAAGGUAACGGCUUACCAAGGCAACGAUGCAUAGCCGACCUGAGAGGGUGAUCGGCCACACUGGAACUGAGACACGGUCCAGACUCCUACGGGAGGCAGCAGUAGGGAAUCUUCCGCAAUGGGCGAAAGCCUGACGGAGCAACGCCGCGUGAGUGAUGAAGGUCUUCGGAUCGUAAAACUCUGUUAUUAGGGAAGAACAUAUGUGUAAGUAACUGUGCACAUCUUGACGGUACCUAAUCAGAAAGCCACGGCUAACUACGUGCCAGCAGCCGCGGUAAUACGUAGGUGGCAAGCGUUAUCCGGAAUUAUUGGGCGUAAAGCGCGCGUAGGCGGUUUUUUAAGUCUGAUGUGAAAGCCCACGGCUCAACCGUGGAGGGUCAUUGGAAACUGGAAAACUUGAGUGCAGAAGAGGAAAGUGGAAUUCCAUGUGUAGCGGUGAAAUGCGCAGAGAUAUGGAGGAACACCAGUGGCGAAGGCGACUUUCUGGUCUGUAACUGACGCUGAUGUGCGAAAGCGUGGGGAUCAAACAGGAUUAGAUACCCUGGUAGUCCACGCCGUAAACGAUGAGUGCUAAGUGUUAGGGGGUUUCCGCCCCUUAGUGCUGCAGCUAACGCAUUAAGCACUCCGCCUGGGGAGUACGACCGCAAGGUUGAAACUCAAAGGAAUUGACGGGGACCCGCACAAGCGGUGGAGCAUGUGGUUUAAUUCGAAGCAACGCGAAGAACCUUACCAAAUCUUGACAUCCUUUGACAACUCUAGAGAUAGAGCCUUCCCCUUCGGGGGACAAAGUGACAGGUGGUGCAUGGUUGUCGUCAGCUCGUGUCGUGAGAUGCUGGGUUAAGUCCCGCAACGAGCGCAACCCUUAAGCUUAGUUGCCAUCAUUAAGUUGGGCACUCUAAGUUGACUGCCGGUGACAAACCGGAGGAAGGUGGGGAUGACGUCAAAUCAUCAUGCCCCUUAUGAUUUGGGCUACACACGUGCUACAAUGGACAAUACAAAGGGCAGCGAAACCGCGAGGUCAAGCAAAUCCCAUAAAGUUGUUCUCAGUUCGGAUUGUAGUCUGCAACUCGACUACAUGAAGCUGGAAUCGCUAGUAAUCGUAGAUCAGCAUGCUACGGUGAAUACGAUCCCGGGUCU